GUCACCGCGAACUUUCUAUCUGUUUCUUUCGGAUCGUUUCCUUUACUUGCAGAUUAUAAAUUGGGUUACAAUGACGGAAAAACCGACUCCUGAGAAAAUUAAGCAGUUAUUUUCUUCUUUUCUGGGUGACCAUGAUAAAGACAGGGGGAAAAACAAAGAUGACAAAACGCAGUCAGAAACUGAUACCCAAAUGUGUUCUUCUGCUGGCAACAUUAAGCAGUUCUUUGAAAGAAUUGAGACCUUCACAGCAUUAACAUGGUUUGCCAAGCCCCAGGAGUUUUCCCCCCUGGCAUGUGCGAGGUACGGAUGGAAGAACAUCGACACAGACAUGCUCCAGUGUGUUAACUGCAGAGCAAUGCUGUGUGGAACACUGCCUAAACAAGUGGAUGCCUUUUACUACAAAGAAAGUUGCAUGAAAUUAAGAGCCAGUCUGAUAGAAGCUCAUGAAACUGCCUGUAAAUGGACAACUAAUCCAACUCCAGAGAAGUUGUACAGCCUGCCAUUUCACAGUCUAGAGGAGUUGUUGCAAGGUUUCCUAUCAAGACUUGAAUCACUGAAGUCACGGAAGGUUCCACAGGUCUCAUACAUAUCUACAACUGAACAGGGCAUUUCCAAGGAGUCUUUGUUGAAUUCCAUCCUCCAUAUACAGGGCACAACUGAAGUGGAGCUAUCUCUUAUGGCCCUGUGUGGCUGGCAAAACUGUGACUCUCAUGAGAAUGUGCUGCAGUGUUCCUUGUGCAGAAGGAAGAUUGGACUCUGGAACUAUGGUUUAACAGAGGAAACAGAAACUGAACACACAAACUCUGUAGAUGUACCUGACGAAACUUCAAAAGGCGUUCUGAAUGGUAAACAUGGAAAGCAUAGCGACACAAAUGUUAUUUCUGACAACAACUGUAAAGGUGUUCAGAAUGGGGACCAUGGCAAAACUAGUGAUAAUGGGUCAAUAAAUGAAGACUUGUUGACCCGUGACACCAGUGUUGUGAGUGCUAAGCGAGGCUAUGAAGGUGCAAUAGAGGUUGAAGAUGUGGAGGGUGUCACUGUUGAGCCAGCUAAGAAGCGGCCCAAACUGGAGAAGAAGCAGUGUUUUGACCCGGUUGCCGAGCACAGGUUCUGGUGUCCAUGGAUACAGUGUGAAGUCCCAGAGAAAGGUGGGCAUGUAGCAGGAAGCAGUCCUUCGCCUUCCGUGGCCAUAGCAAAUGCAGAGCAUGCAGACACAGCCGGGAGACCAGGCUGGCUGAGAGUGGUGAAGAUCCUGUGCCAUAGUGAUGAAGGCAAUGAAUUACAUGUCCAACUGAAGAAGAGCCCAGAGCUUCACAGUCUUCGGCAUUUACGGAGAGUACUGCACGACUGUACGACAGACAGGAGAAACUUGGACCUUACUGCAUAACUGGUGAAGGUCUUGGUGGACAGGCGCAACUUGGGCCUUACUGCAUAACUGGUGAAGGUCUUGGCGGACAGGUGCAACUUUUCCCCUACUGCAAAACUGAUGAAGGUCUUCAGUUACAGAGCUUUUAACUUAACACACAGUGCUUUGACUGGAUUAUGUUAAUUCAAUAAACACACAGUGCUCUGACUGGACUUUGUUAAUUCAAUAAUCUUUUCGCAACAAAAUCUCCAUUAACAACAUCAGUGAAGAUAUUUGGGAACUGAGACUUCAGGCAUUAAACAUCAUUUUCGGUAUGGUAAUUGUACAUGCUGUAAGGGAAAGAUCUAGGAUCACAAAAAGUACAGGGUGCUGCUAAAAUGGGAAGCACAAAAGCAUUCAAGAGACUUUUUUAGCUGACCUAAUUGCUCAGGUGAGCUUUGAGGAUCAGUCUUUGUCUGUUGUCCGUCCGUUCACAUUUGGUUUGUAAACACACUAGAGGCCACAUUUCUUGUCCGAUCUUCAUGAAACUUGGUCAGAAGAUUUGUCCCAAUGAUAACUCGAUCAAGUUCGAAACUGGGUCAUGCUGGGUCAAAAUCUAGGUCACUAGGUCAAAAAA